UGACCAGAUUAGCAUCACCCCUGAGCUGGAGAAUAAGCUGUUUGGGAAGGCUUGGAGCUGGCGUUUGGAAGGGGGAAAGAGUCGUUUUGAUAGUGUUCUUCAAGCUUAUUACAGGGAAUGGUAGAUGGAGAGCUGUAGAAAGUCGGCUUUAAGGGAUAUCCAGCAGCAGUACGAAAAGGUGUUUUGCUGUAAUUUCUUUACUCUAGUACAAGAAAGAGCUGAAUUGAGACUUGGCAAAGCAACUACAAGUAUUACUUUGUGCUGAGGUUGUUAUCUUGUGGGUUAAGUCGGAAGGUUGUUUCAGCAGAUUGGAGGUGAAGGAUGUGCUGAAUACCUAACACUUGAGAACUGGGUUAAGGCAGGUGGCGACAGCUCAUUGAACUGUUUUCAGCUGUGAAUUAUUCAGUUAGAGCUGAAUCGAAGGGUGAUUUUGAGCAGAUUUGAGGUGUUGUCAUCGAUGUCGGGGAGGAGGUUUGAGUAUUGCUCUAGGCUGAGCAUUGGAACUGUUUUGAGUUAGAAUAAGCUGAAUUUCAGGGCAGUUCAACCUGAAUUAAGUUGAGGGGAAUCGAAGACUUCAGAUCUCCCACAAGAAAGUAUAAUUGGAUGAGGUUGUCGACUAGUAGGUGGGUUUGACCUAACCAGAGCAAGUGAAAACCCCCUAUGUUCUAUAUGAUACUAUAGAGUUGGUAGUAUGUGCAAAUACAAAUGACUAUUAGUUAUAGAGUAUUGAAUGCCAUAACCUAUUUGCCAUUGAAUCGAAUGAA